rnacentral:rRNA from 1 species
CCUACGGGAGGCUGCAGUGGGGAAUAUUGCGCAAUGGGCGAAAGUCUGACGCAGCCACGCCGCGUGCGGGAAGAAGGUUUUCGGAUUGUAAACCUCUGUUAGCAGGGAAGAAAGGUCACUGUGCUAAUCAGCAGUGAAUUGACGGUACCUGCAAAGGAAGCCCCGGCUAACUCCGUGCCAGCAGCCGCGGUAAUACGGAGGGUGCAAGCGUUGUUCGGAAUUACUGGGCGUAAAGCGAUCGCAGGCGGUAUGUUAAGUCAAGGGUGAAAGCCCCGGGCUCAACGUGGGAACUGCCUUUGAAACUGGUAAACUGGAGUGUAGGAGAGGAUAGUGGAAUUCCAGGGGUAGGGGUGAAAUGCGUAGAUAUCUGGAGGAACAUCAGUGGCGAAGGCGGCUAUCUGGCAUAUAACUGACGCUGAGGAGCGAAAGCGUGGGGAGCAAACAGGAUUAGAUACCCUGGUAGUC